rnacentral:rRNA from 1 species
GACGAACCGUGCAACCGUUGUUCGGAAUCACUGGGCUUAAAGGGCGCGUAGGCGGCUUGUCAAGUCAGGGGUGAAAUCUUUCGGCUUAACCGGAAAAGUGCCUUUGAUACUGACAGGCUCGAGGGAGGUAGGGGUAUGUGGAACUUCUGGUGGAGCGGUGAAAUGCGUUGAUAUCAGAAGGAACGCCGGUGGCGAAAGCGACGUACUGGACCUCUUCUGACGCUGAGGCGCGAAAGCGUGGGGAGCAAACAGG